rnacentral:rRNA from 1 species
GAUGAACGCUGGCGGCGUGCCUAAUACAUGCAAGUCGAGCGAACGGACGAGAAGCUUGCUUCUCUGAUGUUAGCGGCGGACGGGUGAGUAACACGUGGAUAACCUACCUAUAAGACUGGGAUAACUUCGGGAAACCGGAGCUAAUACCGGAUAAUAUUUUGAACCGCAUGGUUCAAAAGUGAAAGACGGUCUUGCUGUCAUUUAUAGAUGGAUCCGCGCUGCAUUAGCUAGUUGGUAAGGUAACGGCUUACCAAGGCAACGAUGCAUAGCCGACCUGAGAGGGUGAUCGGCCACACUGGAACUGAGACACGGUCCAGACUCCUACGGGAGGCAGCAGUAGGGAAUCUUCCGCAAUGGGCGAAAGCCUGACGGAGCAACGCCGCGUGAGUGAUGAAGGUCUUCGGAUCGUAAAACUCUGUUAUUAGGGAAGAACAUAUGUGUAAGUAACUGUGCACAUCUUGACGGUACCUAAUCAGAAAGCCACGGCUAACUACGUGCCAGCAGCCGCGGUAAUACGUAGGUGGCAAGCGUUAUCCGGAAUUAUUGGGCGUAAAGCGCGCGUAGGCGGUUUUUUAAGUCUGAUGUGAAAGCCCACGGCUCAACCGUGGAGGGUCAUUGGAAACUGGAAAACUUGAGUGCAGAAGAGGAAAGUGGAAUUCCAUGUGUAGCGGUGAAAUGCGCAGAGAUAUGGAGGAACACCAGUGGCGAAGGCGACUUUCUGGUCUGUAACUGACGCUGAUGUGCGAAAGCGUGGGGAUCAAACAGGAUUAGAUACCCUGGUAGUCCACGCCGUAAACGAUGAGUGCUAAGUGUUAGGGGGUUUCCGCCCCUUAGUGCUGCAGCUAACGCAUUAAGCACUCCGCCUGGGGAGUACGACCGCAAGGUUGAAACUCAAAGGAAUUGACGGGGACCCGCACAAGCGGUGGAGCAUGUGGUUUAAUUCGAAGCAACGCGAAGAACCUUACCAAAUCUUGACAUCCUUUGACAACUCUAGAGAUAGAGCCUUCCCCUUCGGGGGGCAAAGUGACAGGUGGUGCAUGGUUGUCGUCAGCUCGUGUCGUGAGAUGUUGGGUUAAGUCCCGCAACGAGCGCAACCCUUAAGCUUAGUUGCCAUCAUUAAGUUGGGCACUCUAAGUUGACUGCCGGUGACAAACCGGAGGAAGGUGGGGAUGACGUCAAAUCAUCAUGCCCCUUAUGAUUUGGGCUACACACGUGCUACAAUGGACAAUACAAAGGGCAGCGAAACCGCGAGGUCAAGCAAAUCCCAUAAAGUUGUUCUCAGUUCGGAUUGUAGUCUGCAACUCGACUACAUGAAGCUGGAAUCGCUAGUAAUCGUAGAUCAGCAUGCUACGGUGAAUACGUUCCCGGGUCU